AUUGAACGCUGGCGGUAGGCCUAACACAUGCAAGUCGAACGAGUGGCGGACGGGUGAGUAAUGUCUGGGAAACUGCCUGAUGGAGGGGGAUAACUACUGGAAACGGUAGCUAAUACCGCAUACCCUCGGAUGAUCCCAUAUGGGCUUAGCUAGUAGGUGGGGUAACGGCUCACCUAGGCGACGAUCCCUAGCUGGUCUGAGAGGAUGACCAGCUACACUGGAACGGAGACACGGUCCAUACUCCUACGGGAGGCAGCAGGGGGGAAUAUUGCACAAGGGGCGCAAGCCUGAUGCAGCCAUGCCGCGUGUAUGAAGAAGGCCUUCGGGGUGUAAAGUACUUUCAGCGGGGAGGCGUUACCCGCAGAAGAAGCACCGGCUAACUCCGUGCCAGCCGCCGCGGUAAUAC
rnacentral:rRNA from 1 species